AACGAACGCUGGCGGCAUGCCUAACACAUGCAAGUCGAACGAGACCUUCGGGUCUAGUGGCGCACGGGUGCGUAACGCGUGGGAACCUGCCCUUAGGUUCGGAAUAACUCCCCGAAAGGGGUGCUAAUACCGGAUAAUGUCUUCGGACCAAAGAUUUAUCGCCUUUGGAUGGGCCCGCGUUGGAUUAGCUAGUUGGUAGGGUAAAAGCCUACCAAGGCGACGAUCCAUAGCUGGUCUGAGAGGAUGAGCAGCCACACUGGGGCUGAGACACGGCCCAGAAUCCUACGGGAGGCAGCAGUGGGGAAUAUUGGACAAUGGGCGAAAGCCUGAUCCAGCAAUGCCGCGUGAGUGAUGAAGGCCUGAGGGUUGUAAAGCUCUUUUACCCGGGAUGAUAAUGACAGUACCGGGAGAAUAAGCUCCGGCUAACUCCGUG
rnacentral:rRNA from 1 species